UACGUAGGGUGCGAGCGUUGUCCGGAAUUACUGGGCGUAAAGAGCUCGUAGGUGGUUUGUCGCGUGUUCGUGAAAUUCCCUGGCUUAACUGGGGGCGUGCGGGCGAUACGGGCAGACUGGAGUACUGCAGGGGAGACUGGAAUUCCUGGUGUAGCGGUGGAAUGCGCAGAUAUCAGGAGGAACACCGGUGGCGAAGGCGGGUCUCUGGGCAGUAACUGACGCUGAGGAGCGAAAGCGUGGGGAGCGAACAGG
rnacentral:rRNA from 1 species